CCCCUCUCAUGUCACUGCUGCUGAUAUUGCUUUCUGCCUCUCGUCCCUUUCCCUCCAGCUGCUCCUCAACCUUUUAAUGUCAGACUGACCAAGAGAAGAACACAGGAUCUGACAGAAGGAGACAAAAGAAGCAAAGGUGGCGAGGCUGGUGAUGGAGAAACCCGUGAAAAUACCCUGAAGGAAUGAAGUGCAGUGUGGAAGACGGUGACUCAUAUCUCUGCAGUGAUCCUUCAGUAAAAGGCCCCCAGGAGGAGGAAGGGCUGCUAACCAGCGUCUCAGAGCAUGUGCAAGUGACAGAGGAUAUGGGAGCCUGUGGCAUUCGGAGUUGCCCACCACCUGCUGGGAUCCACUUACAAAGCUGCAAACACAUGGGAAGACUGCCGCUCUUGCUGACACAUCGCAGGAGGACCAAGCGGAGACUGUCGCUCCCAGUCAACUUGAGUUCUGCUAUAAUGAACAAAAAUUACAGUUCAAACAUGAACCUCUGAAGUGUUUGAGAAAGGGGCUGGCAGUUCUUAGUCUUGAAAUAUCUUCUUGUGAUAUAAUGUGAUUUUUAGACAUUUUUUUCUUUUUUAAGGGAACAAAUAAAAUCCUAACUAAACACUCA
rnacentral:lncRNA from 11 species